rnacentral:rRNA from 1 species
UGGCGGACGGGUGAGUAAUGUCUGGGAAACUGCCUGAUGGAGGGGGAUAACUACUGGAAACGGUAGCUAAUACCGCAUAACGUCGCAAGACCAAAGAGGGGACCUUCGGGCCUCUUGCCAUCGGAUGUGCCCAGAUGGGAUUAGCUAGUAGGUGGGGUAACGGCUCACCUAGGCGACGAUCCCUAGCUGGUCUGAGAGGAUGACCAGCCACACUGGAACUGAGACACGGUCCAGACUCCUACGGGAGGCAGCAUG